GACGAACGCUGGCGGCGUGCUUAACACAUGCAAGUCGAACGGAAAGGCCUGCUUUCCCUUGUGGAUUGCGGGUACUCGAGUGGCGAACGGGUGAGUAACACGUGAGUGAUCUGCCCCCAACUCGGGUAUAAGCCUGGGAAACUGGGUCUAAUUCCCGAUAGGACUGCAGGGGGGUGUCGGUGGUGGAAAACGAUUUUCUUGUGGUUGGGGAUGAGCGCGCGGCCUAUCAGCUUGUUGGUGGGGUAAUGGCUUACCAAUGCGGGGACGGGUAGCCGGCCUGGGGGAGUGGGCGGCCACAUUGGGACUGAGAUACGGCCCAGGCUCCUACGGGAGGCAGCAGUGGGGAGGAAUGCGCGAUGGGCGGAGGCCUGAUGCAGCGACGCCGCGGGGGGGAUGACGGCCUUCGGGUUGUAGACUCCUUUCGGCCGCGAGGAAGCCACCUGGUUGGAAGGGUGGUGACGGUAGUGGUAGAAGAAGCACCGGCUAACUACGUG
rnacentral:rRNA from 1 species